GGAAGACGUUCAGAUUUACUGGGCGUAAGCGCGUGUAGGCGGCUGGUUAGGUGUGAUGUGAAAUCUUCCGGCUCAACCGGAAAACUGCAUUGCAAACCGGCCUGGCUAGAGUGCAGGAGAGGGAAGCGGAAUUCCAGGUGUAGCGGUGAAAUGCGUAGAUAUCUGGAGGAACACCUGUGGCGAAGGCGGCUUCCUGGCCUGCAACUGACGCUGAGACGCGAAAGCGUGGGGAGCGAACCGGAUUAGAUACCCGGGUAGUCCACGCCCUAAACGUUGCGAACUAGGUGUUGGUCGGAUUGACCCGAUCAGUGCCGCAGCUAACGCAUUAAGUUCGCCGCCUGGGGACUACGGCCGCAAGGUUAAAACUCAAAGGAAUAGGCGGGGGCCCGCACAAGCAGCGGAGCGUGUGGUUUAAUUCGAGGCAACGCGAAGAACCUUACCUGGGCUUGACAUGCAGAGGAAACUUUCGUGAAAGCGAGAGCCUCCCGCAAGGGACUUCUGCGCAGGUGGUGCAUGGCUGUCGUCAGCUCGUGCCGUGAGGUGUUGGGUUAAGUCCCGCAACGAGCGCAACCCCUGUCCUUAGUUGAAUUUUCUAGGGAGACUGCCGGGCGAAACCCGGAGGAAGGUGGGGAUGACGUCAAGUCCGCAUGCCCUUUAUGUCCAGGGCUACACACACGCUACAAUGGCCGGUACAACGGGUUCCAACACGGCGACGUGAAGGCAAUCCCUAAAAGCCGGUCUCAGUUCGGAUUGCAGGCUGCAACUCGCCUGCAUGAAGUCGGAGUUGCCAGUAACCGCUGGUCAGCACACAGCGGUGAAUACGUUCCCGGGCCUUGCACUCACCGCCCGUCACAUCACCCGAGUCUGGUGCUCCCGAAGUCGCUGGCCGAACCCGUAAGGACGGAGCGCCGAACGAGUGCCCGGUGAGGGGGGUG
rnacentral:rRNA from 1 species